AAGACUAUACUUUCAGGAAUUAUUUCUAUAAUUGGUUACUAGAAGAGUUUCUCUGAAUGUGUAAAGAACUGGAAACCAUGAGGCGGAAGCACAGUCUUCUCUCCUGUAUGUGAAACCUACUUUUGGUGUUGAUUCACUGCAACUACCAUUUGCUGUUGUUGGUGAUUCUUAUCUUUCUUUGGUAGAAUAAGAGGAAAAGAAUGAAAUCUGAGUGGA
rfam:Otolemur garnettii contig178713, whole genome shotgun sequence.